rnacentral:rRNA from 1 species
CCUACGGGAGGCAGCAGUGAGGAAUAUUGGUCAAUGGACGAGAGUCUGAACCAGCCAAGUAGCGUGAAGGAUGACUGCCCUAUGGGUUGUAAACUUCUUUUAUAUGGGAAUAAAAUGUUCCACGUGUGGGAUUUUGUAUGUACCAUAUGAAUAAGGAUCGGCUAACUCCGUGCCAGCAGCCGCGGUAAUACGGAGGAUCCGAGCGUUAUCCGGAUUUAUUGGGUUUAAAGGGAGCGUAGGUGGAUCGUUAAGUCAGUUGUGAAAGUUUGCGGCUCAACCGUAAAAUUGCAGUUGAAACUGGCAGUCUUGAGUACAGUAGAGGUGGGCGGAAUGCGUGGUGUAGCGGUGAAAUGCUUAGAUAUCACGAAGAACUCCGAUUGCGAAGGCAGUUCACUGGACUGCAACUGACACUGAGGCUCGAAAGUGUGGGUAUCAAACAGGAUUAGAUACCCCUGUAGUC